rnacentral:lncRNA from 1 species
GCUUUAACCAAUAUGUCUGUGUUCUUAUAUAAAAGGAUAAAUUUGGACCCAGAAACAGACAUGUAUGGAGGGAAAAUCAUGUGAAGACAUGGAGAGAAUGCCAUCCAUAGCUGAAAAAAUCCUGAGACUACCAGGAGGUAGGAGAGAGGCAUGAAACAGACGUAUCCUCACAGCGCUCAGAAGAAACCAACGCUGCUGCACCUUGAAUUUAGAUUUCUAGACUCUAGCCUAUGUUGUCUUCAUGGUGGAUAAUGGCCAAUACAGUGUUGAUACAUGGUGACUAGAGAAACAUUGAACAAAUUUCCCCCACUUUGCAAAUAACAAUUUGUGGUUACUGUGCUCUAAUGCAUUGGAGGAGAGAGCCCUUUAUUCAGACCUAAAUCACAGACAAGAUGGUCCUGUGCUUCUGCAGUCAAGUAAAAGUGGAAUCUCUGUCAAUGUGAAUCAGAAUCACUUCUCAGCAACACAGCAGCCUUCAGUCCUUGCUGACAGAUUCCUUCUAAGCUGCACGGGGGCAACCAUGCAGAAAAAGCAAAAUCCUACCUUCAGCCAGGGAGUUUUUUUCUCUCCUGCCACCAGUUGAAGAAGGAUGUAUUUGCUUCCCCUUCCACCAUGAUUACAAGCUUCCUGAGACAUCCUGAGCCAUGCAGAAUUGUGAGUCAAUUAAACCUUCUUGCUUGAUAAAUUACCCAGUCUCAGGCAGUUCUUUAUAGCAGCAUGAAAAUGGGCCAAUACAGUAAAUCAGUACCAGGAGUGGGGUGCUACAGUGAAGAUACCCCAAAAUGUGGAAGUGACAUUGGAACUGGGUAACAGGCAGAAGCUGGAACAGUUUGGAGGGCUCAGAAGAAGAUAGGAAAAUGUGGGAAAGUCUGGAAUGUCCUAGAGACUUGGAAGGCUCAGAAAACAGGAGUAUAUGGAAAAAUGUGGAACUUCCUAGAGACUUGUUAAAUGGUUUUGACCCAAAUGCUGGUAGUGAUAUGGACAAUGAAGUCCAGGCUGAGGUGGUCUCAGAUGGAGAAGAGGAACUUCUUUGGAACUAGAGCAAAGGUGACUCUUGCUAUGUUUUAGCAAAGAGACUGGUGGUAUUUUGCCCCUGCCCUGGAGAUCUGUGGAAAUUUGAACUUGAGAGAGAUGAUUUAGGAUAUCUGGUGGAAGAAAUUUCUAAGCAGCGAAAUAUUCAAGAGGAAGCAGAGCAUAAAUGUUUGAAAAAUUUGCAGCCUAGCAAUGCAAUAGAAAAGAAAAACCCAUUUUCUGGGGAGAAAUUCAAGCCUGCUGCAGAAAAUUGCAUAAGUAAUGAGCUGAAUGCUAAUCACCAAGACAAUGGGGAAAAUGUCUACAUGGCAUGUCAAAGACCUUUGCUGCAGCCCCUCCCAUCACAGGAUGAAACAUAGGAAGAAAACAUAGUUUCCUGGGUCAGGUCCAGGGUUCCCUGCUGUGUAUGGACUUGGGACUUGGUGCACUGUAUCCCAGCCACUCCAGCCAUGGCUAAAAGGGGCCAAGGUACAACUCAGGCCAUGGCUUCAGAGGGUGCAAGCCCCAAGCCUUGGCAGCUUCCAUGUGAUGUUGAUCCUGCUGGUGUGCAGAAGACAAGAAUUGAGGUUUGGGAACCUUCACUUAGAUUUCAGAGGAUGUAUGGAAAUGCCUGGAUGUCCAGGCAGAGGUAUGCUGCAGAAGCAAAGCCUUCAUAGAAAACCACUGCUAGGGCAGUGCAGAAGGGAAUUGUGGCGUUGGAACCACCACACAGAGUCCCCCACAGUGCACUGCCUAGUAGAGCUGUGAGAAGAGGGCAACCCUACUCCAGACCCCAGAGUAUUAGAUCCACUGACAGCUUGCAUCAUGUCCCUGGAAAAGUGUCAGACACUCAAUAUCAGCCUGUGUAGCCAGGAGGGGGGCUUUACCCUACAAAGCCACAGAGAUGAAGCUGCUCAAGGCCAUGGGAGACUACCUCUUGCAUCAGUAUGACCUGGAUAUGAGACAUGGAGUCAAAACCGAUCAUUUUGAAACUUUAAGGUUUAAUGAUUGCCCCAUUGGGUUUCAGACUUGCAUGGGGUCUGUAGUCUCUUUGUUUUGGCCAAUUUCUCCCAUUUGAAACAUGUAUUUACCCAAUGCCUGUACCCCCAUUGUAUCUAGGAAGUAAUUAACUUGCUUUCGAAUUUACAGGCUCAUAGGUGGAAGAGACUUGCCUUGUCUCAGAUGAGACUUUAGACUUGGUCUUUGGGGUUAAUGCUGGUGAGUUAAGACUUUGGGUGACUAGAAGACAUGAUUGUGUUUUGAAAAUGUGAGGACAUGAGAUUUGGGAGGGGCCAGAGGGGAAUUAUAUGGUUUGGGUGUGUUCUCACCCAAAAUCACAUCUUGAAUUGUAAUUUGAAUUAUAAUCCUCACAUGUUGGGGGAGGAACUUCAUAGGAAGUUAUUAUAUCAUGGGGUUCAUUCCCCCACCCUAUUCUCACUGUUCUCAUGGUAGUGAGUAAGUUCUUAUGAGAUCUGAUGGUUUUAUAAGGGGCUUUUCUACCCUUCACUCUGCACUUCUCUCCCCUGCCACCAUGUGAAGAUGAAUGUGUUCAUUUCCCCGUCUACCAUGAUUGUAAGUUUCCUGAGUCCUCCAAAGCCAUGCAGAACUGUGAGUCAAUUAAACCUCUUUCCUUUAUAAAUUACUCAGUCUUGGGCAGUUCUUUAUAGCACUGUGAGAACAGACUAAUACAUAUUCUUUCUGACGUCUCAAAUCUUC